rnacentral:rRNA from 1 species
UACGGAGGGUGCAAGCGUUGUUCGGAUUUACUGGGCGUAAAGCGCGCGCAGGUGGAUGUGCAAGUCGGAAGUGAAAUCUCGAGGCUCAACCUCGAGGCUGCUCCCGAAACGGUACGUCUAGGGACUGGUAGAGGCUGGUAGAAUUCCCGGUGUAGCGGUGGAAUGCGUAGAGAUCGGGAAGAAUACCUGUGGCGAAGGCGGCCAGCUGGGCCAGAUCCGACACUGAGGCGCGAAAGCGUGGGGAGCAAACAGG